AUUGAACGCUGGCGGCAGGCCUAACACAUGCAAGUAGAGCGGAGCGGCGGAAGGGUGAGUAAUGCCUAGGAAUAUGCCUGGUAAUGGGGGAUAACGUCCGGAAAAGGGCGAUAAUAUCGCAUACUAUCAGAUGAUCAUAGGUCGGAUUAGCUAGUUGGUGGGGUAAAGGCCUAACAAGGCGACGAUCCGGAACUGGUCUGAGAGGAUGAUCAGUCACACUGGAACUGAGACACGGUCCAGCCUCCUCCGGUAGGCAGCAGUGGUGAAUAUUGGACAAUGGGCGAAAGCCUGAUCCAGCCAUGCCGCGUGUGUGAAGAAGUUCUUCGGAUUGUAAAGCACUGUAAGUUGGGAGGCGUUACCAACAGAAUAAGCACCGGCUAACUUCGUGCCAGCAGCCGCGGUAAUUC
rnacentral:rRNA from 1 species